rnacentral:lncRNA from 1 species
UUGGACUAACUUAUUUCUCUAAUAAUUCUAAAAAUCAUCUUAGUGAUGACAUGUGUAUACAAAAAGAAGAUGUAAUGUUUCACAAAUAAUAUAUAGGGAUUUGUACACAUACAGUAUUUAUACAGAAUACAGAGGUAAUUAGGUAUUGACUAAUUACAUUUAUGACCCUAACUGUUUAUUUUGUUCGUGAAGCCCAGCCCUUAUUAUACGUUUACAAUGGGACAAUAUAAAUAGAUAAGUGCUUUGUUUACGUAAACUUCACUGAUCUGUGAUUAUAAUAAAAUCACUAUAACAAGCAUUCCAAACCAGAAAAAAGACGACAAUCUAAGAAUAAAAGACAAGAGACCAAAUCCAUCCAUUCAAACGCAAACUGACGGCUAGAUUGGAGUCUGUGUUCUCAGCUAAAAUAUGUUUGGAGGAGGUACGAAACCGUAAGCACGCCGACUACUACUACCAUUGCAGCCUAAUCUCGGAUCACAAUCAAGAUGAAUAGUGUCGUGAAUCUUGUGGUACCCGUUUUUGAAUACACCAAAACCAAACACCAAACCAAUGGCUACCACUACUAAAACCAAGCAUGUGCAUAACAUGCAAAUCCUUCCACAACACAUCUUUCCUCACUCUCUUUUUCGGAGAAGGUUGUGAGAAUUGUAGAUACGUUUAGGGCCUAUAUAGAGGGUUCUUUAGGUUGUUGGUUGUGAGAGCGAGGGGGUAGAAACGUGGAGAGAGGCGUAGAAGAGAGGGAGAUUUUAGUGAAGGGAUUAUUAAGAGAGUGGUGCGUGAACGCUUUGUCUAUUUCUUGCUUUAAAGCUAACCAAGAAAGCACCCACACAACUUUGGUAUAUAUAUAGGUAAUAUUCUUCUUCUAGACCCUAAUAUUUCUUCUAAAUUUUCUUUUAAAGCAAAGUUAUCCAAGUAUUUGUAACUCAGUCCAUUAGUCAAAAAAAAAAUUGUUUUAUCGAAUUGGAAUCCUGGUUCGAAUUCAAUUAUAUAAAACAUGAUGAGAAAAAGGUUUCUUAAUGCGUUUUGAGAAUCAAAAGAAAAGAUGAAUGAGUGGAAGAAGUGAAAAACUAAUUGUGUCUAUGGAUUCUUUUUUUUUUUAAGUUAAAGUGUUCAUACAACUAUUUAAAUUCAAUGAUUAAACUUUGCUUGACAUCUUGAGAUACCAAGUUCAAAUUCCAUUAGAAAAGGAAAAGAGAAAGAGACUCCCGCUAAACACAUCUUUAUAUCCAAUAAUAGAUGCAUAAACCAAGAGAAAUACUCCAAACUAGUUGUACAAUGUUGAUCUUGAUUCUUUUUUGUAACCAAUUCAAAAUUGUAAUGUAUAUCACAUUAUAAUGUAACGCCAAACUGUG